UUUCUUGGCUCCAACUAUAACAGAUAUUGAGCAGUUUAAAGAUAAGCUCUGAGGCAUGCCAUUUAUGGCAAUUUCUAAGUAUAAACUUUCUCAUUAGGCCAAGAAUGUACAUGCUUGAAGAGCCUGGAAAGAAACAGAUUGGAGAAAAGAAUAAAAUAGAAAAGACUGUAUCAACACGAGAACGUAUCUGGAUUACCAAGAUUCUAUUUAAUGGAUACACAAAACAAGAAGAGGCCUUCAACUGAUCCUGAGGUUCUCAAAGGAGCCAGCAAUACAUACAUUCUAUAUUAUUAUUCUCACUUAAGAUCAUGUAGUUUGACAAAAAUGAACUACUGGGACCUCAUCAAAAUAAAAAGCUUCUGCACAGCGAAGGAAACAAUCAGUAAAACUAAAAGGCAACAGACAGAAUGGGAGAAGAUAUUUGCAAAUGACAUAUCAGAUAAAGGGAGUUGACUGGAGACCUUGGCUCAUUUAUCCUUACUCCAGGGCCCAGGCUGAUGGAGUUGACCUCAUUCUGAAGGCUGUUGUUUGCCAACGCAGGUGGAAAGAGACUGUGGCAAAUUCUGCACUCUUUUUUUAAAAUUGAGACAUAAUUGACAUAUAAUAUUUUAUUAGUUUCAGGUGUACAACAUGAUUCAAUAUAUGCAUAUAUUGCAAAUGAUCACCACAGUAAAUGCAGUUAACAUUCAUCACCACACAUGGUUACAACUUUUUUUUAUAAUGAAAACCUUUUCUUUUUUGAGAGAGAGACUGUGCACAAGAGUAUGUGAGUGGGGGAGGGGCAAAGGGAGAGGGAGAGAGAAUUUUAAGCAGGAUCCAUGCCCAUAUAGAGCCCGAUGCAGAGCUCAGUCUCAUAACCAUGAGAUCAUAACCUGAGCUGAAAUUAAGAGUCGGACACUUCAUUGACUGAACCACCCAGACACCCCAAGAUCUCACCUUCUUGAUGGAUGAGUAAUAUUCCACUGUGUAUAUGCACCACAUCUUCUUUAUCCAUUCAUCAGUUGAUGGACAUUUGGGCUCUUUCCAUAAUUUGGCUAUUGUUGAUAGUUCUGCUAUACAUGUGGGGGUGCAUGUGCCCUUUUGAAUCAGUAUUUUUGUAUCCUUUGGAUAAAUACCUAGUAGUGCAAUUGCUGGGAUUUAGGGUAGUUGUAUUUUCAACUUUUUGAGGAACUUCCAUACUAUUUUCCAGAGUGUCUGCACCAGUUUGCAUCCCUACCGAUGGUGUAAGAGGAUUCCCGUUUCUCCACAUCCUUGCCAACAUCUGUUUUUUUUAAGUUGUUAAUUUUAGUAAUUCUGACAGGUGUGAAGUGGCAUAUCAUUGUGGUUUUGAUUUGUAUUUCUCUGAUGAUGAGUGAUGUUGAGCAUUUUUUCAUGUGUCUGUUAGCCAUUUGUACAUCUUCUUUGGAGAAAUGUCUGCUGAUGUCUUCUGCCCAAUUAUUAACUGGAUUAUUUACUUUUUGCCUGUUGAGUUUGGUAAGUUCUUUACAGAUUUUGGAUACCAGCCUUUUAUCUGAUAUGUCAUUUGCAAAUAUCUUCUUCCAUUCUGUAGGUUGCCUUUUAGUUUGUUGAUUUUUUUUUUUUACUGUGCAGAAGAUUUGUAUCUUGAUGAAGUCCCAAUAGUUCAUUUUUGCUUUUGUUUCCCUUGCCUCUGAGACAUGUCUAUUAAGAAGUUGCUGCGGCUGAGAUCAAAGAAGUUGCUGACUAUGUUCUCUAGGAUUUGGAUGGUUUCCUGUCUCACAUUUAGGUCUUUUACCCAUUUUGAAUUUAUUUUUGUGUAUGGUGUAAGAAAGUGGUCCAGUUUCAUUUUUCUGCAUGUUGCUGUCCAGUUUCCCCAAUAUGAUUUGUUGAAGACACUGUCUUUUUCCAUUGGAUAUUCUUUCCUGCUUUGUUGAAGAUUAGUUGACCAUAUAAUUGUAGGUCCAUUUCUGGAUUCUCUAUUCUGUUCCAUUGACCUGUGUGUCUGUUUUUGUGCCAGUGAAUUCUAUAUUAACUCUUCUUUUAAAAAAUUUUUUAGUGUUCAUUUUAUUUUUGAGAGAGAGAGACAGAGUGUGUGCAGGGGAGGGGCAGAGAAAGAGAGGGAGACACAGAAUCUGAAGCAGGCUCCAGGCUCUGAGCUCUUAGCACAGAGUCUGAUGCAGGGCUCAAACCCACAAACUGUGAGACCAUGACCUGAGCAAAGUCAGACACGCUUCAAUGACUGAGCCACCCAGGUGCCCCUGUACUAACCCUUAAAGGUUCCCAGAGGUAACACACAGCACUCCUAGAACAGGACAUAUGGGGAAGUGGUAAGCUGAAUUCUAUCAUGUACUCUGAAGGAGAACCACAAGUAUUUGGUGAAUAGCACUAAUGAUUACCAGAAUCAUAAUUUUAGUUCCUCAAAAUAGUAAAAACUGAUAAAGCAAAUCUAGUAUGUAAAUCAGCAUGUCAAUGUGGAAAGCUAUCCAGGUAGGCAAACAGCAUCAUUAAGAGUUUUCUCAGCUCCCCUUUGCAGCAAACCUCCUCAAGAGUUAGCUACACUCACUCUCUUUGAUUGGUCCCUUCUCAUUUCUCAGCAACCCAUUCUAAUCCUAUUAUUUUCUUUUUAUUCACUCUGUUGGAACCACAGUGGCCUCCCUUCUCUCUCUCUCUCUUUUUUUUUUAACCUCUGUGAACAUGUUGGGCACAAUUCCCUCUUAGGACUCCCCUUUGUCCUGAUACCUGAUUUAUCUGUUGAUAAAUCCAUUGAUUUACAUGGAGGCUGAGGGUCUCUCUGAAAACAACCCAGUCUGUCAGUCUGGGCUCUUAUAUUUGGACAUAUGCAAUUUUGACUGACAAGUAGGGUUAAACCUGGUAGAAGCAGAACUGCAGGGGAAAAAAAUGGAGACAUCUAGAAGAAAAAUGACGAAGUUAUUAAAUAGAAUAAGCUGGAAUGAACAACAAGGCCUGAGUGCUGGAGAGAAGAGGUAUUUUGGGUAUUACAAGGCAGCUGAUUGGGAAGUUCAUUCCAUUCCAGCCACUGUGAUGUAUAUGUGCGUCCUGAGAGAAAGGUGUACGUGUCUGUGUGUGCAUGUGCAUAAAUGAAGCCUGUCGCGUGGUGGCUGGAGCAGCCAUGCUAUGGAAAUUUUGCAAUGGCCCAGGACUAGUGCUCCAGUUCAUGGACCCUAGGUCCUGUUGGCACCUGGGUGACAGUAUUGGAAAUGAGAGGAAAGUUAUGGUCUCAGAGGAAUAGCUAUGGGAACUCUUGCGUCUGGGCCUGCAGAGCCCCUGCUCAGCUAGCAGUGGGAGGGAGGGAAGAAGCAGCAUUGCUAACCACGGUGACGUCGUGAUGUUUAAGAAAUAUAUUUCAAGAGGAUCCCAUCUGAGAACACGGCGUGGGCAGCUGAGGGUAAGUGAGACGUGCAGCUCUGGGGUGGCGUGGCAGUACCGUCCUUGUGCACAGCAGAGUUGCGGCUCAUCUGGUAGUAGUGCCGUCAGGACGCAACACGGUCGCCCCUUCCUGAAGAACCUGGGGGUCUUUUGUCACCCUUCCUGAGGCUUCAGCGUUUUGUGAUCAGCCCCUUGGCACCCAGCUGCCACACUAUCUCAUCUGAGAUCCUUAACUGUCGGCGAGGUUCCUGCCACUUGAGGAACCAUCUCCACUCUCCUGCGUUACCCAUGCCCUUGUCACUGCAAAGCGAAUUCUCCUUUCCUUUGGAAUCACUCCCCAUGCAUCUACUCUGCACUUAAAAACAUAAGCCUUGUUUUCAUUCAGCAAACCUUUUAAGGCCCCCAUGAGAAGCCCAGUGACCUAAAUCAUUCUGUUCUGCCCGUUUUGGGGAAUGCAUGCGUGGUAUUGCCACUUUGGGUACUAAAGAUGGAGAUUGUCUUCAAAUGGAGCCAAUAUUAUGAUAGACAGUUUGAUAAUGUGAUACAGAUACAGAGUGAGAACUGUGGAAAUAUCACAAAAAUUGGGUGUUAGGCGUGCCUGGGUGGCUCAGUCAGUUAGGCAUCUGACUUUGGUUUGGGUCAUGAUCUCACAGUUUGUGAGCUUGAGCCCUGCACUUACAGUGUGGAGCCAGCCUGGGAUUCCCUCUCUCCCUCUCUCUUUCCUUUCCCCACUUGUGUUUUCUCUCUCUUUCAAAAUAAAUAAAUAAAAAUUGGGUGUUAGACUUAAAAUAAACACAGGUUUUGUGGUCAACUCACUAAACCACAAUAUCUUGAAUUGCUUGCUUUGUAGCAAUCUGCACAAAGUAAACCAUCCCAGGUAUAGUUUUUAAAACCGUAUAUAAGAUAGCCUUCACUUUACUUGAUGCGACUGCCUAGAUUCUUCCUCCCUCUCAUCUCCUCCUUUCCCUUCUUUCUCUUCCUCCCUUCUCUUUACUUUCCCUCUUCUCUUCAUUUCUUUCCAAACUUCUGACCCUGGAAUUCCAGGAGACAAACUUUCUUGGACUUUUUCUUUUAAUACCUGUAAGCUUGUAUGGUGGUUUAAAAUACCUCUUAGUCUUUUGGAUGAUUUUGCUUUUUCCUUUAAGGGCUUCUGUUCUCGUCCUUCUUAUUCUCUGUUGAUCUUUGAGACUUCACACAUGAUCUCACUCAUUUGUAGUUGUUUUACACUUGCCCAAUGAAGUGCUCUUUUGGUCUAAAAAUGGUGCAUUUUGCACUUUUUAAGUCACAUUUAGGGACCCAAGAAUAUAUUGUAAUGAAUAUUUCAUGUUAAAAGUUCUGGUUCAAUAGAAAUAACUGCAAAAGUGAUGCCAGAGUCUUUCAAGUUCUGGCCAAGACUAUUGUUUUACAGUGAGGAAAGAGCUCUCCAUUCUAGGGAAUGUAAAGUAUUGGUCUAUUACAUCUGAAGUUCAGUGUGUCCACUGAGAAUCUUAGAUACUCCAUCUCUCUAGCUUAUUCCUGUGUUUAUACUCAUUUAGACACCAUUAAAGAAUAAAUGUGCUUCUUCUUUUAGGACAAAGGCAAUCAGCUUGAUCUCACACUUGAUUUUACAUGGCCAUUAGAUCAGGUGGAGCAAAACCAAGUGUAAUCAAAUUCAUAGUUCUCAGUACAUGGGCCCUUGUGAAUCUCUAAUGAGACCCACCCAAAGGCAAACAUACCUUGAGCAUUGUUUGAAAUACACAAUGUAGAAUAAAAUUAUACAGAUGUACAUCUCAUUAAGUCACAAAAUCCUGAUUUAGCAAGCUCUGUGAAAAGUUGGCUACUCAUAAAAGAUCAAAUGAAAGUUAGAUAUUUAUAGUUCUGAUCCUUGACAUGAGUGUCCAGUUUAUGGAAACAAGUCAAUCUAUGGAUUCAUUUAUUUGUUCUGCAAACACUAAGGCACUAUAUUAGUUUUGUAUUACUGCUGUAACAAAUUGCCACAAACUUAGCCACUGAAAAUAAUAUAAAUAUAUGAUCUUAUAGUACUGUAUGUCAGAAGUUUGACACAGGUCACCCUGAACUAAAAUGAAGGUGUUGGCAAGACUAAAUUCCUUUCUGGAGACUCUAGGGGAGAUUCGAUUUCAUUGCCUUUUCCAGCUUCUUGAAGCUGCUACAUUCUUUGGCUCAUGACCCUCCUUCCCCCAUAUUCAGAGCCAGAAAUGUUGCAUCUCUUUUUAAUCUUUCUCUUAUCUUCAUAUUUUUCCCUCUGAUGAAAGCCUGAAAAAGUUCUCCACUUUUAAGAUUCAUGUGAUUAAUUGGGUCCACCCGGAUAAUCUAGGACAGUCACCCCAUCUCAAGGUCUAUACCCUUAAUCACAUCUGCAAAGUCUCUUUUACUGUGUAAGGUAACAUACUGACAGGUUCUGGGGACUAGGGUGUGGACAACUUUGGGGACCAUCAUUCUACCUACCAUAGCUACUAUGUUUCCCUUUUCAGGGCACUAGUCAUAUAAAGCAAAAAACAAAAAAACAAAAAACAAAAACAAAAACAAAACCACAACGGUCUUACUUCCUGGAGCUUUUGUUAUUAGAGGAUGAAUAGUAGGCCAAGAUCUUGAUGCCUCUGUGAAAAAAUAGGUAGCAAUCAUUUAGGUAACAUACCCAUCAUUGGGCCAGGUUAAAUUAAGCAGUGUGAAAAAGACCAUGGUUUGGGAGGCAGGGCACAUCUGGGUUCCAAUUCUCAGCCAAUUGCUUAACUGAGAAAAAAAAAGAAACUGGAAUCUGCCUAAUCUUGCUGAGCCCAGUUUCUUUAACUAUAAAUAGGGGGAAAUAUCACCCAUCAAGCAGGACUGUUAUUGAGGAUUAAAUGAAAUUGCAUAUGCAAAUGCACAGUGCAUAGGCAUGGAGUGAAUGCUCAAAAAAAUAUCAUUUCUCUUCCUUAAAAAAGGUGUCAUUCUAUGAAAUUUGGAAACAUGAUUCCAAGGUCAAACAACAGGACUGUUUUCAGUUGGUAUUGUUUAGAGGCAUGAAGAAAAUCUCCCUGACUCUAAUUUAUCUUUUAUCACAUUUCUUGAAACUUAAGAACUAGAAAUAUAUUCUUUUGGCUUAUGGUUCACUUUCUAAGUGUGCUCAUUAAAUAUAGAGUUGUUAUCAAGAAGGAUAAAACAUGAAGCUGUUAUAAGUAAUUGUCACUGUAAUGUGAAUUUGUCAAAGGAGGCUGAUUAAAGCUGAUUAAGUUAGGGGUCAUUUUGUUGUGAGCA